AAGUACAAAUGUUGCAAACCCGCAGGACCAAGUCUACCCUUCACAGCAGCAAAAUUAACCCAAGCCCUUUGUUCCAUACAACCAAGGUCAGGGUUAUGUUCCUAAGCAGCAGUAUCAGGGCAACUAUCAGCAGCAACUUCCACCACCUAGGUUCACACAGCAGCAACAACAACCAGCUUCAACAACUCCAGAUUCAGACUUGAAGAACAUGUUACAGCAGAUUCUCCAGGGACAAGCAGCAGGAGCAAUGGAUCUCGCCAAAAAGAUGGCAGAAAUCCAUAACAAGGUUGAUUGCACUUUCAACAAUCUGAACAUUAAACUUGAGGCACUCACCUCAAAGGUCAGAUACAUGGAAGGACAAACUGCGUCGACCUCUGCUACCAAAGUAACAGGACUUCCAGGAAAGUCCAUACAGAACCCGAAGGAUUACGCCACCGCUCACGCUAUCACCAUCUGUCGUGAUCGAGAGUUGCCUACUCGACAUGUCUCCACAUCAAUCACCAAGGACAGUGAUGUUCAAGACGGGGAGGUUUCUACUCAGAUUGAAAUUUCAGUUGUUGGACUCGACCAUUCAGCUGGAUCCCAUUUUCAAACUCAGUUCAACCUAGACGAGAAAGCAGCCAUCAUUGAGAGGAUGGUAAAACGAUUAAAGUCAGCACCAUUACCUUCACGUGCUCUUCCAUGGAUAUUCAGGAAAGCAUGGAUAGAAAGAUACAAUUCUCUUGCAGAGAAGAAGCUUGAUGAAAUGGAAGCGGUGAUGCCUCUAAUAGAAGUUCUCAACCUGAUCCUGGAUCCUCACAAAGAUGUGAGAAAGUCAAUUUUGGAAAGGAUCAAGAUUUAUCAAGAUUCAGAAGACGAAUGUGAUGUUAAUCCGUCUAGGGCCACUGUUAAGAGGAGUGUUCAAGAAAAACUGGAAGAUCAUGGAACUUUCACUCUACCAUGUUCCAUUGGUCAAUUGGUUUUUAGCAAUUGUCUAUGUGAUUAGGGAGCUUUAGUAAGCUUAAUGCCUUGCGACCUGACUUUGAUCCUUGCUAAUAGGUCUGCAAGGAAACCCCUUUGCCUGUUACGAGAUCUGCCAGUAAUGAUUAAUGUAGUGGAAGUACCUACAGAUUUCGUUGUGCUUGAGACGGAAGUAGAACCUAAGAAUCUUCUAAUCCUAGGAAGACCUUUCUUAGCCUCCGUGGGAGCGAUGAUAGAUGUCAAAGACAGAAGAAUAAGUCUUAACCUUGGGAAGCACAUCAAGCUGCAGUUUGACAUCAACGAAACUUCGCAAAGGACAGCUGUAGAAGAAAAGAUCAGGGCUCAACCUCAACCUUCGAAUUCAAUCACCAGACCAAGCACAGCCUCUACACCUGACUUGCGAGAUCUCAAAAAAAAAAUCUGAUGAGCAAGAAGAAACCAUAGAGAAGCUAGCUCAGACAGUUGAGGAACUUAAGAGUAAACUGGAUCAGAUGCAAGAGAAAGCUCAAUCGAAAUGCGGAAUUGACACUAUCCCGAGAAAAAAGAUUACUUCAAGAUGGUCUAAGGAGAUAGAUUAUCCACCAGAAGAGAAAGAGGCCUACUUCGAGGAAAGAAGAAUUGAGUAUUCUGCUACGCAUCUCUCAAGAGAGGAUGCUGAAUAUGAUGAUGAGAUUAGAGAGGACUAUGCAGAUCCUCUCUAUCACCUAUUUUCUUCUUAAUGAGUGUGAGGAGUCAAGCUAGAGACUUUAAACAAGCUCACUUGGGAGAAAUUCCCAAGACUGUUUCUGUAAAUAAAACUUUUAUUUUCUUGUUAUUUUUUAUUUGUUUUUGGUUGUGUUUGUGAUUCUCAGGAACAGAGAAACAGCGUGGAGGUAGAGUAAAAAUUUAAAAAUUUUACUAUAUAGAGCAACAGGGGAUCGAGUAUGUCGGAAAUUCAAGAGUUUGAAAAACUUUUGUUGCACUAAGAGGCCAUGAGCUCGAGUAAGUUUGGUCGAGUAUUAGUGAUGAUUUAAAAAACCCAAAAUUUUGAAAUCAUAUCUAUACUCGACCAACAGAAGCUACAGAGACUUGCAGGGAGUUUAACAAGUUUACAGAGGAUUACAGAGGGUUCUAGUCAAUAGAGAACAAUGCUUCAGGACAAACAGACAGAGCGUGGCCCACCACCUCUCACCUUUGUUCCCCCACGCGUUUUUAGAGGUAACAAAAUCUCUUCCCUCCUUCCCCACCACUCGAUCUCACCCUAUCCUUCCCCACCACUCGAUCCAACCUCAUCUCUUCGACAUCUCUCCCUCACAACUCUCUCUCGACCAAACCUCACCAUCUCUCUUCCUCUCCAAACACUCGACCACACAAAAACACUCGAUCUCUCCCCUCCGGCUUCGUCUCCCUUCUCACUCGAUUACGACACAGCCACCGACACUCACGCCACCGCCUUCAUCCUCUCUUUCACUCAACGAUGGGACCAGUUUUGCCAUCUCUCCCUUCUCACCACUCGCCGUUCACUCGACCACUCCGCCCUUCACUUCGCCAGAAGCUUCACCGUCUCAACGUUUCCUCCCUCUUCACUCUUGACCCCGCUGCUCCUCUCUAUUCACCGCCUACUCGAUCGUCGGACCUUCACCGUCUCACCAUCGCUUCCUUUUCACUCAAUCUCGCCUCCCAUUCACUCGACCGCAAGAGCACCUCAGCUUCUACUUCGAUUUCUUUCUCUCACCUCUCCGUUCUCACCGUUCACUCGACCUCGCCAUUCACUGCGCCUCCGUUCAUCUCUUCACUCGACCGCUCCUCAAACCGCCACCGUCUUCUCUCCAUUCAACGUAUACUCGACCACGCUGUUACUGUCUCUCAUUCGUGUUCACUCGACCGCUAUACCCGAAGCCACAAUCUCACUGUACUCGACCGUUUUACUCGACCGCGUACUUGACCGGUUUAGUGUUUGCAUUUUAUUUGGACUAACAUAUUGAUAUUUGGCUUUGAGUUACAUUCUUUUUCAGGAAAUCAAUAUGAGUAACUACAGCGGCGAAUCCUCCAUGGAUGCGGAUUACAACGUCGAUGAAGCUGAAUCUUGGUCAACUGGACCAUAGAGAGAGCAACAAGCUUAUGAGAGCUUCAGAGCUGAGACCGAACGUUCAGUAGCUCGACGCAAUGAGAGGAGAGCUGAGAUUGCUAGAGGAAAUAGAGCAAUGACCAGCAGAUAUGAGUUGAUCAACGAAGACAUUGACGUCGAGUAUGAGCCUGAGUCAUGGCAUAGAGAGACGAAGCUGUUGAACAGGCCUGAUGAAGUUACAGUGGAGGAGUACAUCAGACUUUUUGAGCUGAACGACUUCUGGGGAACGAGGUACCCCUGUUAUCAGACUUUAGCCCAGCUGGAGCUACUGGAGGACGUACAACACUUAUUCGAGAAGUGUCAUCUGGAGACGAUGAUGUCUUACCCGUACGUUGCUUACAAGAAGGAAACAAUAGAGUUUCUCUCCACUCUACAAGUGGAGAUGUAUAAUGGACUUACAGUAGAUGAGCUGGAGAGUGAAGGGUUGGGGUUCUUGACUUUUUCAGUGAACGAGCAGCGUUACCAGCUAUCUAUCAAGAGCUUGGUAGGAUUGUUUGGUUUCCCCAGUGGAAAGGGAACUAAACCCAAAUUCGAGAGGGAAGAGUUGAAGGAUUUGUGGUUAACCAUUGGGAACGAUAUGGCGCUCAACUCUGCGAGGUCUAAGAGCAACUAGAUUUGAAGCCCUGUGAUCCGCUACUAUCAGCGCUCUGUAGCAAAUGUUCUGUACUCUAGGGAAUCUACAGGCACUGUGUCUAACACAGACAUGGAGAUGAUUGAUUCUGCACUCAAGUGCAUUCUCCAUAGAACAAAGGGGAAGAAGGUCCUGAAGGGCGACCUCAAUGAUGCACCACUGAUUAUUCUUCGGUUGAUCCACUUGUGUGGAUACAGGAAGUGGGCGCACACCAACGGGAAGAAGAGGGCGCGAGGACCCCUUUGUGUAGAUGGUGUUGUGACACCGAUUCUGAUUGCAUGUGGUGUACCUCUCACGUCUCCAGCGUUUGAUCUGAGGAUGAUGGAUUUAGAUCAUUUGCGUCGUUGUGAGUUUCUGGAGCACGACAUGGUUGCCGAUUUCUAUCGCUACGAAUUCGAGCACUCCUUGACCCGAACAGCCAACAUUCUGCUUUCCUGCACUGAGGCCACAACCAUACUUAGGGCGAAAACAUUGACUUCAAGCCUGCGCGUGAUUACCUCUACUUUGAGAGCGCUCUACCGACUGAUGACAACGUCCCUACAACAUAAGCUACAGAGGAUGAGAUUGCUGAGACAGAUGAUGAUAGGGAGGAGGAGUACGAUACGAGCAUGUAUCAUUUCAGUGAGCACGUACCUCCAGCGCGGAAGAGCAAGAGCUUGAGCGAAACUCACAGAAACAACAGUAAGUUGCAGAGGUGGAGCGUACCUCCUAAGUUGCACAAAAACAACGUACCUCUAGUUACAGUGAUAUCAAUACCAAGGUUGAAGCACUGACAUCUAAGAUCAGAUACAUAGAAGGCCAAACUGGGUCGCCCUCAGCACCCAAAUUUACAGGACCUUACGGAAAAUCAAUGCCAAAUUCAAAGGAGUAUGCUCAUGCUAUCACACCUAGAAGCGGUAAAGAAUUACCCACAAAAGUGAGUCCGAACCAGAACACUGAGGACAGUGUGGAGCAAGAUGGGGAGGAUUUCUGUCAGAAUGAAGAUUCCGCUGAAAAAGCAAUAGAAGAGCCUAUACUCGACCGAUCUACACGACCACUAGCUCCUGCAGCGUCUCCUCUUGUUGGAAAACCAGUUGUCGCCAAAACCAAGGAAAAUGUCUUCGUUCCCCCACCUUACAAGCCACCACUCCCAUUUCCUGGUCGAUUCAAGAAGGUCAUGAUACAAAAGUACAAAGCUCUCCUGGAGAAACAAUUGAAAAAUCUUGAAGUCACGAUGCCUCUUGUCGACAGUCUUGCACGUAUACCAGACUCUAACAAAUAUGUGAAAGACAUGAUUACAGAAAGAAUCAAAGAAGUCCAAAGAAUGGUGGUGCUAAGUCACGAAUGCAGUGCGAUCAUUCAGCAGAAGAUCAUUCCAAAAAACUAGGAGAUCCUGGUUCGUUCACCUUGCCUUGCGCUCUUGGUCCUUUAGCCUUCAGCAAGUGCCUCUGUGAUCUAGGUGCAUCUGUGAGUCUCAUGCCUCUCUCUGUUGCAAAGAAACUGGGCUUCAACAAGUACAAGCCCUGCAAUAUAUCCUUGAUCCUAGCUGACAGAUCUGUUAGAAUUCCCCAUGGUAUGCUGAAAGACUUACCAGUCAUGAUAGGCGUGGUCGAAGUACCUACAGACUUUGUGAUUUUAGAAAUGGAUGAAGAACCCAAAGACCCUUUGAUACUGGGAAGACCAUUUUUAGCUACAGCUGGAGCUAUCAUUGAUGUUAAGAAGGGAAAUAUUGAUCUUAACCUCGGGAGAGAUCUCAAGAUGACCUUCGAUAUCACCAACACCAUGAAGAAGCCUACAAUAGUAGGAAAUGUUUUCUGGAUUGAAGAGAUGGAUAUGUUAGCUGACGAAAUGCUAGAAGAGCUAGGAGAAACAGAUCAUCUAUAGAGUGCUCUAACAAAGGAUAGCAAAGAAGGAGAUUUACAUUUGGAGACUUUGGGGUACCAGAAGCUUUCAGAUGAACACAAAGCAGUUGAGAAUCCAGGAGAAUAUGAAGAUUUGGGUGAAAGAGCAAGGGGGGAAUAUAUACUCGACCACAUCACUCGACCAACAGCCCAUUCAGUAUACUCGACCACAUCACUCGAUCACAACCCCUCCUCUGAAGCCAACUUAGUAUCCGAUGACUGGUCUGAACUCAAAGCGCCCAAAGUCGAUUUAAAACCAUUACCAAAAGGGCUAAGGUACAUUUUUCUUGGACUAAACUCUACUUAUCCUGUCAUAGUGAAUGAUGAGCUAACUACUGAUCAAGUAAACCUGCUGAUAACUGAGCUUAAAAAGUAUAGGAAAGCUAUAGGAUACUCGUUAGAUGAUAUUAAGGGGAUUUCACCUACCUUGUGCAUCCAUAGAAUCCACCUUGAAAAUGAAUCCUACUCUAGCAUUGAACCUCAAAGGAGAUUAAACCCAAACUUGAAAGAGGUUGUGAAAAAGGAGAUACUUAAACUACUAGAUGCUGGGGUUAUCUACCCUAUCUCUGAUAGCAUUUGGGUAUCCCCAGUUCACUGCGUUCCUAAAAAAGGAGGUAUGACAGUUGUUAAAAAUUCUAAAGAUGAACUGAUACCCACUAGGACUAUAACUGGACAUAGGAUGUGUAUUGACUAUAGGAAGUUAAAUGCUGCCUCUAGAAAAGACCAUUUCCCAUUACCCUUCAUUGAUCAGAUGCUAGAAAGAUUAGCAAACCAUCAUUACUAUUGCUUCUUGGAUGGUUAUAGCGGAUUUUUUCAAAUCCCUAUUCACCCAAAUGACCAAGAGAAAACCACUUUUACUUGUCCUUAUGGAACCUUUUCUUACAAGCGUAUGCCUUUCUGUUUCUGUAAUGCACCAGCUACUUUUUAGUUGUGUAUGACUUCCAUUUUCUCGGAUUUGAUAGAGGAGAUGGUAGAGGUAUUCAUGGAUGAUUUUUCUGUGUAUGGCUCUUCCUUCUCCUCGUGUUUGUUGAACCUGUGCAGGAUACUUAAAAGAUGUGAAGAGACAAACCUGGUGCUGAACUGGGAGAAAUGCCAUUUCAUGGUUAGAGAAGGCAUCGUUUUGGGCCACAAAAUUUCUGAGGAGGGAAUAGAGGUUGAUAAGGCUAAGGUUGACGUGAUGAUGCAGUUACAGCCACCAAAGACUGUCAAGGACAUCAAGAGUUUUCUUGGACAUGCAGGAUUUUAUAGAAGAUUCAUCAAGGAUUUCUCCAAGUUGGCAAGACCGCUCACUAGACUGUUGUGCAAGGAAACCGAGUUUGCAUUCGACGAAGAAUGUUUGACAGCCUUUAAGUUAAUCAAGGAAGCUUUGGUCACUGCCCCAAUAGUCCAAGCUCCAAACUAGGACUUCCCAUUCGAGAUCAUGUGCGAUGCUUCAGAUUAUGUAGUAGGAGCAGUUUUGGGCCAACGGAUUGAUAAAAAGCUGCAUGUGAUCUACUACACAAGUAGAACGAUGGAUGAUGCACAGGUAAGGUAUGCCACUAUAGACAAGGAACUGCUAGCUGUGGUAUUUGCAUUCGAGAAAUUUAGAAGCUACCUAGUGGGCUCUAAGGUGACAGUCUACACUGAUCAUGCUGCUUUGAGGCACAUAUAUGCGAAGAAAGAUACCAAACCUAGGCUGUUGAGAUGGAUCUUAUUGCUCCAAGAGUUUGACAUGGAGAUAGUUGAUAAGAAGGGAAUUGAAAACGGUGUAGCUGAUCAUCUGUCUAGGAUGAGAAUUGAAGACGAGGUCCCUAUUGACGACUCCAUGCCAGAAGAACAGCUAAUGGCAAUUCAGCAACUUAACGAGAGUGCCCAAAUUCGGAAAUCACUCGAUCAAGUAUGUGCAAUCGAAGAAAAACUUCCGUGGUAUGCUGAUCACGUCAAUUACUUGGUUAGUGGUGAAGAGCCCCCAAAUAUGUCGAGCUAUGAGAAGAAGAAGUUCUUCAAGGACAUUAACCAUUUCUACUGGGACGAACCUUAUCUCUACACACUCUGCAAAGAUAAGAUCUACAGGAGAUGCGUCUCACAAGACGAAAUCGAAGGCAUCCUACUGCACUGCCAUGGGUCUGCCUAUGGUGGCCAUUUUGCAACGUUCAAGAUAGUGUCAAAAAUCUUGCAAGCAGGUUUUUAGUGGACGACAAUGUUUAAGGAUGCUCAGGAAUUCAUCUCGAAAUGUGACUCAUGUCAGAGAAGAGGGAACAUCAGCAGAAGUAAUGAGAUGCCUCAGAAUCCGAUCUUGGAAGUUGAGAUUUUUGACGUUUGGGGAAUAGAUUUUAUGGGUCCAUUUCUUUCUUCUUACGGAAACAAGUACAUACUGGUCGCAGUGGACUAUGUAUCAAAAUGGGUUGAAGCCAUAGCUAGCCCCACCAAUGAUGCUAGAGUUGUGCUAAAGCUGUUCAAGACAAUUAUCUUCCCUAGAUUUGGAGUACCGAGAGUUGUAAUCAGUGACGGAGGGGAACAUUUUAUCAACAAGGUUUUUGAGAACCUUUUGAAGAAACAUGGAGUAAAACACAAGGUAGCCACUCCUUAUCAUCCACAGACGAGCGGGCAGGUGGAAAUCUCCAACAGGGAGAUAAAAGCAAUUCUAGAGAAAACAGUGGGGAUUACAAGGAAAGAUUGGUCUGCCAAGCUCGAUGACGCAUUAUGGGCUUAUAAAACAGCCUUCAAGACCCCUAUUGGCACGACUCCUUUCAACCUUCUCUAUGGAAAAUCCUAUCACUUGCCUGUUGAACUCGAGUAUAAAGCCAUGUGGGCAGUUAAACUCCUGAACUUCGACAUUAGAACCGCCGAGGAGAAGCGGUUGAUCCAACAAAACGAUCUCAACGAGAUUCGCUUAGAAGCUUAUGAGAGUUCCAAAAUCUACAAGGAGCGAACCAAGUCUUUCCAUGACAAGAAGAUAGUCUCAAGAGAUUUUAAGGUUGGUGAUCAAGUGCUGCUGUUCAACUCACGCCUGAGGCUUUUUCCAGGCAAGCUCAAGUCUAGAUGGUCUGGUCCUUUCUCUGUUACUACAGUCCGACCUUAUGGUGCUAUCACUCUAGCUAGGAAGAAUGGAGAAUUCACAGUCAAUGGCCAGCGGCUCAAGAAAUACAUGGUAGAUCAAUUUAUUCCAGAAGGAACUUCUGUUCCUUUGGAGGAGCCUUUAAACGCCUAAAGAGUAUGAGGAGUCAAGCUAAAGACCUAAAACAAGCUCACUUGGGAGGAAGUCCCAUGCCUAUCUUUGUACAGAUCUUUUAUUUCCCUUGUUGUUUUUGAUGCAUUUUGUUAGUGUUUUCAGGAGACAUGUAUGAAGAGCAAAGGGAAAUGGAUUCUGGCCUUGAAUAGCAAUACACUCGACCACAGAGCAAUCAAGGACACUUGACAUUGUUCUGGUUUCUCCACCCCAGGAAAUCACUCGACCACACCUUACAAGGACCGAAUGAUGAUGUGAUCGAGUGUAGCGAAUGAUGCAAUCACAACUUCUGCAUGUUAGUAAUCCACUCGACCGUGGUACUGGCCGCAGCAUAAGAAGAGAGGUCGAAUAUCAUCAGAGCGGUGCUGGCCGCGACGAAGGAGCAGAGGUCGAGUACCCCCAAGGGGAAGCUGAGACACAACAGGGAGACUCCUCGAUGGCCUGGGAGCAAUCACAGGCAGCUAUUGAUGACCAACUCCGCUUCUUCUUCUACUGAGGUAAGCACCUCACUUCACCAUUGUAAUAUAACAUCUCCUGUUUUUAUUUUGUUUCUGUGAUGUGUUUUGUCCUGAGUACUCUCUUCCAAAUUUGGUCACACAGUGGACUGUGUGAUUUAAGUUUGGGGGAGGGCUCAGGAAGUGUGUGUUGCAUUGUAUAUAAUCUUGAGUCUGCAUUCAUCUAAGGCAUAGAAAAAACCAAAAAAAUUGAAAAAUUUCAAAAAAUGAUUUCACAACAAUAGAGUGCUCAUGUAGUUGCAUUGCAUCUAGGAUCGAGUCUAGAGUGUUUCGUUUAGGAUUGUUGCAUAUGCAUAGGGGAUAAUGAUGAGAUAGCCUUGUAAGCAUUUUGGUUCACCCGAUAAACUCAGUGCCCUCGUUGUUAGUUGUCUCAUGCGUAGUCAAUGAAAUUGAAGUAAAACUGCAUCAUGCCUACAUUGCUCUACUCGACCACACUGUUAGGAUCUGAUACCAUUCCCUAUCAAUUUGAACUUGAAUCUGAUUUAGAAUUAUCAUGUCUUGGCAUCGAAUUAGAACUCAUGGAUACCCUAAAAUACUUGGAUUUUCUUACUCAUUUUAACCACUCUUGUUAGUCCAAGUAGCUCACUCUCCUUAUUAGAGCAGUUAACCCGAACCCAAACAAAAAA
rnacentral:sRNA from 1 species